CCGGAUGUCAAAAUUUUUGUGAAGGAAUGUGAUAAUUUUUAUAAAGGGAUAUCUUAAAUACCCAUUCACAGAAUUAUAAGACACUCUUUCGCAAAAUUAUGCCAUCUCUUCGUAAAAAUUAUGACAUCUCUUCACAAAAAUUAUGACGAUCCUACAGAAAAGUUCAGUUUAGCAUUUUCUGCAAGUGUCAUAAUUUUUGUGAACGAAUGUCAUAAUUUUUAAGAACUUUCUCGUCAUUUAAAAUUUCAAACGAAAAAAGAGAACUACGGACAUUAAAUGCACGCUGGAAAGCGAUGGCUACGUGAUUCAAUAGGGCAAAAUGGUGUGCUCCACAUC
rnacentral:lncRNA from 1 species